rnacentral:rRNA from 1 species
GACGAACGCUGGCGGCGUGCUUAACACAUGCAAGUCGAACGGAAAGGCCCUGCUUUUGUGGGGUGCUCGAGUGGCGAACGGGUGAGUAACACGUGAGUAACCUGCCCUUGACUUUGGGAUAACUUCAGGAAACUGGGUCUAAUACCGGCUAGGAGCUCCUGCUUCAUGGUGGGGGUUGGAAAGUUUCGGCGGUUGGUGAUGGACUCGCGGCUUAUCAGCUUGUUGGUGGGGUAGUGGAUUAGCAAGGCUUUGACCGGUAGCAGGCCUGAGCGGGUGAGCGGCCACAUUGGGACUGAGCUGAGGCACAGACUCCUACGGGAGGGAGCGGUGGGGAAUAUUGCACAAUGGGCGGAAGCCUGAUGCAGCAACGCAGCGUGCGGGAUGACGGGCUUCGGGUUGUAAACCGAUUUCGCCUGUGACGAAGCGUGAGUGACGGUAAUGGGUAAAGAAGCACCGGCUAACUACGUG